ensembl:lncRNA
AACCACUAGGCUACCUGCCACCUCUACACUCUAACCACUAGGCUACCUGCCACCCCUACACUCUAACCACUAGGCUACCUGCCGCCUCUACACUCUAACCACUAGGCUACCUGCCACCUCUACACUCUAACCACUAGGCUACCUAAGAUUGAUAAGAUUGAAUCUCUUAUAACAAGUGAAUGAAUUGAAACAAGUGUGUAAAAACAUGCAGCAGAUUGAGAGUAUUGAGAGUAUUGUAAAGGUGUCGAUAACCACACCAGUGUGGGUCGUCAGCCUCUGAAUGUCUUUAAUGCAGCAUGUUGACAGGAUCUAGUUUUAAUCCUAUGACAGCACAGCCCCACUACAGCUCUAGAUAGACAACGUCUCUCUCUCUCUCUCUCACGUCAACACAGCCCCACUACAGCUCUAGAUAGACAACGUCUCUCUCUCUCACGUCAACACAGCCCCACUACAGCUCUAGAUAGACAACAUCUCUCUCUCUCUCGUCACAGCCCCACUACAGCUCUAGAUAGACAACGUCUCUCUCUCUCUCGUCACAGCCCCACUACAGCUCUAGAUAGACAACGUCUCUCUCUCUCACGUCAACACAGCCCCACUACAGCUCUAGAUAGACAACGUCUCUCUCUCUCUCACACAUCAACACAGCCCCACUACAGCUCUAGAUAGACAACAUCUCUCUCUCUCACGUCAACACAGCCCCACUACAGCUCUAGAUAGACAACGUCUCUCUCUCUCACGUCAACACAGCCCCACUACAGCUCUAGAUAGACAACGUCUCUCUCUCUCUCUCUCACAUCAACACAGCCCCACUACAGCUCUAGAUAGACAACGUCUCUCUCUCUCUCACACAUCAACACAGCCCCACUACAGCUCUAGAUAGACAAAUGUAGACGAGUCCCAAGACUCUUUUGGGGGCCGUAGAGCAAAACGGAGAACACCAAAUGUGUUUGUGAGAAUCUGAUCAUAAUAUUUUUGGAGGCCAAACCGUUCGGCAUUUUCGUGAGAAGACUGAUUUUCUGGACGUCUCAUGGUCUAACAAACACAGCUGUAGCUCUGCCUCCUUUCACCGCAGAUGCAGAAGUGAGACAUCGGCAGCUAUGAGUCUCAAUCCACCGCACAUCUGCCGAUGUCGCACUUCUGCAUCUGCGGUGAAAUUUUUAUAUAUGCCCUUCACAUCACAUUCAUCCCCUUGGUAACAGAAGAAUGAUGCAAUGGUUACCAUAACAUACGUAAAGCAGGCAAGACUAUAUUUACGUUGUUCUCUAAUUCUCGCAAAAAGAAAAAAUCAGUUGGACUACAUAUUUAAUAAUUGUCUGGUUCUCGUAUCGAUCGGGUUCCCACCUAUAAAUAUCUGGGCAUUUGGAUUGACAGACUUAAUGCUUAAAAACAUACAGAUGAGCUAGUUAAAGAGCUCAGAUAUAAAGUGGGCUUCUUUAACAAGAAAAAGAUCUUGCCUCAGGAAGCAGAUUGUACAGUCACCUUUCCUGCCAGGUCUUGGCUAUGGUGACACCAUUUACCAGAAUGCAUCAGCCACUACUCUUAAACCUUUGGAUGCCGUCUACCAUGGCGUCCGUCGCUUUAUCACAGGGGACAGUUUUAAUACUCACUACUGCAUCCUGCUGGUCCUCAUUAAAGCCCAGAAGAUCACCUCAUUUACUCCCCUUUAUUUACAAAGCACUACUACACAAGCUUCUGACGUAACCUAACGUUGCCGUGAAAAUAUUUUUUCAAACGUGAAAGCAAACACGUUCACAAGGUUGCUUAACUUUUGGAGGUUCCUGGGGUCUCCAUCAAACGUUUUAGUUUUAAAGCACCUCGUUGCUGGAACCAACUACACAACACAUUACAAUAGGAUAUUCUGGCACCUUUUUAUUGAGGAAUUUUAUUGUUUUUCUUGAGUAUUUGUGUUGUGCUGUAUUUGACUGGUUUUAUAUUGUAUUAUAUUUUUUGAUAUUUUCUAUGAAAUUGUAGAUGCAGGGCUUGUGAAAGAGACCAUGUACUUAAAUAAAAGUACACAGCACUCAUGUUCCUCUGUAGCAAAAGCUCCAGUCCUCAGAGCCUGAUUGGUGACACACUCCAGCCCCAGCUAACACACCUGACUGCAAUAAUCAACAAAUCAUGGGCUUCAGUUUGGAAUGCAAAUUAGUUUAAUCAGGUGUUCUGGGGCAAAAGUGUAUAACCAAUCAGACCUCCGAAGACGGUAGUGGUCCACACCUAAUCUACAUUCUCCUACCAGACCAGGUAUAGGGGACCAGCCAGACCAGGUAUAGGGGACCAGCCAGACCAGGUAUAGGGGACCAGUCAGACCAGGUAUAGGGGACCAGUCAGACCAGGUAUAGGGGACCAGCCAGACCAGGUAUAGGGGACCAGCCAGACCAGGUAUAGGGGACCAGUCAGACCAGGUAUAGGGGACCAGCCAGACCAGGUAUAGGGGACCAGCCAUAGGGGACCAGCCAGACCAGGUAUAGGGGACCAGUCAGACCAGGUAUAGGGGACCAGUCAGACCAGGUAUAGGGGACCAGUCAGACCAGGUAUAGAGGACCUGGUAUAGGGGACCAGACAGACCAGGUAUAGGGGACCAGUCAGACCAGGUAUGGGGGACCAGUCAGACCAGGUAUGGGGGACCAGUCAGACCAGGUAUGGGGGACCAGUCAGACCAGGUAUGGGGGACCAGUCAGACCAGGUAUGGGGGACAAGUCAGACCAGGUAUAGGGGACCAGUCAGACCAGGUAUAGGGGACAAGUCAGACCAGGUAUAGGGGACCAGUCAGACCAGGUAUAGGGGACCAGUCAGACCAGGUAUAGGGGACCAGUCAGACCAGGUAUAGGUGACCAGCCAGACCAGGUAUAGGGGACCAGCCAGACCAGGUAUAGGGGACCAGGUAUAGGGGACCAGCCAGACCAGGUAUAGGGGACCAGCCAGACCAGGUAUAGGGGACCAGCCAGACCAGGUAUAGGGGACCAGUCAGACCAGGUAUAGGGGACCUGGUAUAGGGGACCAGCCAGACCAGGUAUAGGGGACCAGUCAGACCAGGUAUAGGGGACCAGCCAGACCAGGUAUAGGGGACCAGUCAGACCAGGUAUAGGGGACCAGUCAGAACAGGUAUAGGGGACCAGCCAGACCAGGUGUAGGGGACCAGCCAGACCAGGUAUAGGGGACCAGCCAUAGGGGACCAGCCAGACCAGGUAUAGGGGACCAGUCAGACCAGGUAUAGGGGACCAGUCAGACCAGGUAUAGAGGACCUGGUAUAGGGAACCAGCCAGACCAGGUAUAGGGGACCAGUCAGACCAGGUAUGGGGGACCAGUCAGACCAGGUAUGGGGGACCAGUCAGAUCAGGUAUAGGGGACCAGUCAGACCAGGUAUAGGGGACCAGUCAGAUCAGGUAUAGGGGACCAGUCAGACCAGGUAUAGGGGACGAGUCAGACCAGGUAUAGGGGACGAGUCAGACCAGGUAUAGGGGACGAGUCAGACCAGGUAUAGGGGACGAGUCAGACCAGGUAUAGGGGACCAGUCAGACCAGGUAUAGGGGACCAGUCAGACCAGGUAUAGGGGACCAGUCAGACCAGGUAUAGGGGACCAGGUAUAGGGGACCAGCCUGACCAGGUAUAGGGGACCAGUCAGACCAGGUAUAGGGGACCAGUCAGACCAGGUAUGGGGGAACAGUCAGACCAGGUAUGGGGGACCAGUCAGAUCAGGUAUAGGGGACCAGCCAGACCAGGUAUAGGGGAUCAACAGGGGUUCCUUGAGGAGCUCCAGGGGUUCCUUAAUGAGCUCCAGGGGUUCCUUAAUGAGCUCCAGGGGUUCCUUAAUGAGCUCCAGGGGUUCCUUUAGGAUCUGCAGGGGUUCCUUGAGGAUCUGCAGGGGUUCCUUGAUGAGCACCAGGGGUUCCUUGAUGAGCACCAGGGGUUCCUUGAGGAUCAACAGGGGUUCCUUGAGGAUCAACAGGGGUUCCUUGAGGAUCAACAGGGGUUCCUGAACAAUCAGCAGGGGUUCCUUGAGGAUCAGCAGGGGUUCCUUGAGGAUCAGCAGGGGUUCCUUGAGGAUCAGCAGGGGUUCCUUGAGGAUCAGCAGGGGUUCCUUGAGGAUCAACAGGGGUUCCUUGAGGAUCUGCAGGGUUUCCUUGAGGAUCUGCAGGGGUUCCUUGAGGAUCAACAGGGGUUCCUUGAGGAUCAACAAGGGUUCCUUGAGGAUCUGCAGGGGUUCCUUGAGGAUCUGCAGGUUUUUUUUGAGGAUCUCCAGGAGUUCCUUGAGGAUGUCCAAUUGUUCCUUGAAGAUCUCCAGGGUUCCUCAAGUCACCACUAAUUCUAAGAGGGUAUAGUGCACUACUUUUGCCCAGGGCCCAUAGUGCACUACAUACUGCAGGGGAUAGAGUGCCAUUUGGGACACAGACCUUAGACUGUUGUUCAUUACACUAAGUUAACCAAGCUGGUGUCUGUUUAAAGAACUACUACCGAAUGCUAAGUAACGUCACUCUGUAAUGUACACAACAAGAGAUUUGGAUGGUUCACGUCCUGUUCCUGGGACUGUAGUGCUGAUUCUGUGUAUUAAAAUACAACUGUACAUCACAUGAGAAGGUUUACCUCUCCAAUAAUAUGUUACAUAUCCUUGAGUUGAGUCAAAGAAUACAAUGACACAGAAGCAUGUUGUUGUUGUUGUUGUUGUUGGCUUAUACAGUGGAUCAUAUUACUUCUGCACAUCAAAGUUGAGGUUCAAGUGUCUAUCGUUAGGGCCUACUGCACUCCAAGCACCCUAAAGACAGUGUCGUGUAUCUAACCACCUCUACACUAAUGUCCUUAUCUAACCACCUCUAUGGUAGUGUCCUGUAUCUAACCACCUCUAUGGUAGUGUCCUGUAUCUAACCACCUCUAUGGU